CAGCAGCCGCGGGAAAACGAAGGGUGCAAGCGUUAAUCGGAAUUACUGGGCGUAAAGCGUGCGCAGGCGGUUGUGUAAGACAGGUGUGAAAUCCCCGGGCUUAACCUGGGAACUGCGCUUGUGACUGCACAGCUAGAGUAUGGCAGAGGGGGGUGGAAUUCCACGUGUAGCAGUGAAAUGCGUAGAGAUGUGGAGAACACCGAUGGCGAAGGCAGCCCCCUGGGCCAAUACUGACGCUCAUGCACGAAAGCGUGGGGAGCAAACAGGAUUAGAUACCCGUGUAGUCCCUGUCUCUUAUACA
rnacentral:rRNA from 1 species